rnacentral:rRNA from 1 species
AUUGAACGCUGGCGGCAUGCCUUACACAUGCAAGUCGAACGGUAACAGGUCUUCGGAUGCUGACGAGUGGCGAACGGGUGAGUAAUACAUCGGAACGUGCCUAGUAGUGGGGGAUAACUACUCGAAAGAGUGGCUAAUACCGCAUGAGAUCUACGGAUGAAAGCAGGGGAUCGCAAGACCUUGUGCUACUAGAGCGGCCGAUGGCAGAUUAGGUAGUUGGUGGGAUAAAAGCUUACCAAGCCGACGAUCUGUAGCUGGUCUGAGAGGACGAUCAGCCACCAUGGUACUGAGACACGGCCCAGACUCCUACGGGAGGCAGCAGUGGGGAAUUUUGGACAAUGGGCGAAAGCAUGAUCCAGCAAUGCCGCGUGCAGGAUGAAGGCCUUCGGGUUGUAAACUGCUUUUGUACGGAACGAAAAGCCCUGGGUUAAUACCCUGGGGUCAUGACGGUACCGUAAGAAUAAGCACCGGCUAACUACGUGCCAGCCGCCGCGGUAA